rnacentral:rRNA from 1 species
CCUACGGGGGGCUGCAGUGGGGGAUAUUGCACAAUGGGGGGAACCCUGAUGCAGCGACGCCGCGUGGGUGAAGGAGCGUUUCGGCGCGUAAAGCCCUAUCGGCAGGGAAGAAGGAGGACGGUACCUGACUAUGAAGCUCCGGCUAACUACGUGCCAGCAGCCGCGGUAAUCCGUAGGGGGCAAGCGUUAUCCGGAUUUACUGGGUGUAAAGGGGGCGCAGACGGCAGCGCAAGCCAGGAGGAAAAGCCCGGUGCCCAACCCCGGGACGGCUCUUGGAACUGCGCGGCUGGAGGGCAGGAGGGGGAGGCGGAAUGCCUGGUGUAGCGGUGAAAGGCGUAGAUAUCAGGAGGAACACCGGUGGCGAAGGCGGCCUGCUGGACUGCGACUGACGUUGAGGCCCGAAAGCGUGGUGAGCAAACAGGAUUAGAUACCCGGUAGUC